rnacentral:rRNA from 1 species
GACGAACGCUGGCGGCGUGCUUAACACAUGCAAGUCGAACGGAAAGGCCCGGCUUUGGUGGGGUGCUCGAGUGGCGAACGGGUGAGUAACACGUGAGUAACCUGCCAUUGACGUUGGGAUAACUUAAGGAAACUGGGGCUAAUACCGGGUAGGAGCUCCUGCUGCAUGGUGGGGGUGGGAAAGUUUCGGCGGUUGGGGAUGGACCGGCGGCAUAUCAGCUUGGUGGUGGGGUAGUGGCGUACCAAGGCUUUGACACGUAGGCGGUCUGAGAGGGGGGCCGGCCACGUUGGGUCUGGACUGCGACACAGACUACUACAGGAGGCAGCAGUGGAGAAUGUUGCCCAAUGGGCGGAAGCCAGAUGCAACAACGCCGCGUGCGGGAUAACGGCCUUCUGGUUGUAAACCGCUUUCGCUUGUGACGAAGCGUGAGUGACGGUAAUGGGUAAAGAAGCACCGGCUAACUACGUG